rnacentral:lncRNA from 1 species
AGUGACUGGUGUGUCCUUGGAGAAGGUGUUGGGUCAGAUGCCAUUUCAGGAAGGGGCCAGUUGAACCCAGGACUUGGAGAAGCUAUCGGUUGGCUUUAUCUCGGGGCUCCCAGUGCUGAAAUCACAUAGUGACUGUAUGAAUGACAACUGUGUGAGAUAUCCAGGGUCCAGGAGCCAUGGUCAGUCUGAACUCACUAUCCACUGUCUAAAAGCUGAAUCACAGCCACCUUGUGCUUUAUAGAUAUUUGAACAAAACUGUAAAAGACUUCCCUGUGACUACGGAUUCUCUUCGCUUUAGCAUUCCUAAAUUAAGAUGCACCCGGACCCCUGGUUCCUCCAGCACAGGCCCAGACAUUUCAAUUGCUGACUUCAAACUCACUCAUGAAAAGAUGAAACCAUUCCUUAAAAGGCUUCCCACUGGGAGAUUUUGUUCAAUUUACAUCGCAAUUCAACAAAAGUGCUACAAAUAUGCCUGGCUUGCAACUGAAAAUGGCUCAACAAGUCCUCACCUCAGAGACACAAAGCCUGAAAGGAAGCAAGCCUGCCCUUGA